CGGGACGGGUGAGUAAUGUCUGGGAAACUGCCUGAUGAGGGGGAGUAACUGCUGGAAACGGUAGCUAAUACCGCAUAACGUCGCAAGACCAAAGAGGGGGACCUUCGGGCCUCUUGCCAUCGGAUGUGCCCAGGUGGGAUUAGCUAGUAGGUGGGGUAACGGCUCACCUAGGCGACGAUCCCUAGCUGGUCUGAGAGGAUGACCAGCCACACUGGAACUGAGACACGGUCCAG
rnacentral:rRNA from 1 species